rnacentral:rRNA from 1 species
UACGAAGGGGGCUAGCGUUGCUCGGAAUCACUGGGCGUAAAGCGCACGUAGGCGGCUUUCCAAGUCAGGGGUGAAAUCCUGGAGCUCAACUCCAGAACUGCCUUUGAUACUGGGAAGCUCGAGUCCGGAAGAGGUGAGUGGAACUCCGAGUGUAGAGGUGAAAUUCGUAGAUAUUCGGAAGAACACCAGUGGCGAAGGCGGCUCACUGGUCCGGUACUGACGCUGAGGUGCGAAAGCGUGGGGGAGCAAACAGGG